CGUGUAGGCGGGCUUAUAAGUCGGAUGUGAAAACUGGUGGCUCAACUGCCAGCCUGCAUCCGAUACUGUAGGUCUUGAGUACGGGAGAGGAGAGCGGAAUUCCAGGUGUAGCGGUGAAAUGCGUAGAUAUCUGGAAGAACACCCGUAGCGAAGGCGGCUCUCUGGCCCGAUACUGACGCUAAGGCGCGAAGGCUUGGGUAGCAAACAGGAUUAGAUACCCUGGUAGUCC
rnacentral:rRNA from 1 species